rnacentral:rRNA from 1 species
UACGUAGGUGACAAGCGUUGUCCGGAUUUACUGGGCGUAAAGAGCGCGCAGGCGGUCGAUCAAGUCGAGUGUGAAAGCCCCCGGCUCAACUGGGGAGGGUCAUUCGAUACUGAUCGACUCGAAGGCAGGAGAGGGUAGUGGAAUUCCCGGUGUAGUGGUGAAAUGCGUAGAUAUCGGGAGGAACACCAGUGGCGAAGGCGGAUCUCUGGGCCUUACCUGACGCUGAGGCGCGAAAGCUAGGGGAGCGAACAGG